rnacentral:rRNA from 1 species
UACGUAGGGUGCGAGCGUUAAUCGGAAUUACUGGGCGUAAAGCGUGCGCAGGCGGUUUUGUAAGCCAGAUGUGAAAGCCCCGGGCUCAACCUGGGAAUUGCGAUGGAGACUGCAAGGCUUGAAUCUGGCAGAGGGGGGGGUAGAAUUCCACGUGUAGCAGUGAAAUGCGUAGAGAUGUGGAGGAACACCGAUGGCGAAGGCAGCCCCCUGGGUCAAGAUUGACGCUCAUGCACGAAAGCGUGGGGAGCAAACAGG